UCUAAAUUUAUCUGUUGCGCAAAAAAAAAAAAAAAAAAGAAAAAAAAAACAAUCUGUAAUUUCAAUUACAUUAACCUGAUCUUAUUUUAUUAGAUAGAUGAAAAACUAACCUUGGCGACUAAGGGGAGAGAGGCGAGUGAUGACGACGGGGACGAUGAAGAAGGUGUUAAAUCUUGCUAAAGGCGUCGUUAUGUUCAUCAUCUGCGGUGGAGAGCUUAAUCCCCCUGAAGCUUCUAGAUCUCACCGGAGCUAUUCCCGAUGUUACCCAGCCUUUCCAUUAAUUCUUUGAUAAGGAAGCAACAAAACAACUUGUGGGACGAUUUGAAACUUUCCCAUUGCAGAGAACGCUCUCACUUGCGUCUGCUAAGUCUUCUUCUUCGACUUCACUUACAUCUCAAAUCCUCUCAUGGCCAAGGUUGUGUUUUGACUCUUUCCUCUUGCGGACUACACAAUUAUUCCAUUUUCUAUUCAAAGUUUUGUUCUUUAUGCCUAAAUGUUUAGACUUUGUUUCAUUCUUUUCGUUUAAAACUCAUGGAGACUGUUUUUACAAAAAAAAAAAACUCAUGGAGACUGUUGAGACUGUUGAUUACCUGUUAUUGGACAUGGUAGCAGUGGCAUCAAGGUGGACCUUUGAGCUGAACCUUCAACUAUUAGCAAUAGUAAGCAAGCCUCUACUACAAGUCUACAACUCUAAAUGGCGCCCCAAGAAAAAGAAAAUCGAAGAUAAAUCUUCUUCAACCUUUUAGAGGUCUCUGGAUAUAUUAGUUUGAAAACCAUUCCUAAGCCGGAACAUUCUGAUACUGUCAUUUAAUAGACUGAUACUAAAGAGAUUCCUGGUUAUCAUGAGAUUAUCACGAAUCAGACGAAUUUUAGCACACUGUAGAAGCAAUUAGACUCGGGAGCUUAUUCCGGGUUCGAAAAAUUUGAGUGCAGGGUGCAAACAUAAGUCUGUUUCAAAAGUUAUGCUUAACUUGAAGAACUAUGGGUCUAUUUAAAUUCAAAUUUGUCUCCCAGUUUGAGUACAUAUCAAACGUGUGGAGAUUGGUGUUUGAAUAGCUACUGUCCUUCUCGGCGUAGGCAACAAGAAUUUGCGAAGAACCACAUGACCAGCAACCAAAAGUUGCUAAAAGAAGUCGUCCACAGGAGACAUCAUGAACCUUCUUUAGUUGACUUCAAAAAUUUCAGCUGAUGCGCUCUAUCCAGGAGGAUAUACGUCAUAUAACUCUAAUAAGUUUUAGUGCUUGCACCAAUUUGUGGAUAAAAUAUUUAAUUAUUUUAUUUAUAUAAAGCAAAUAAAAUAAAUUAGGCGCGCAGUCAGAUCCUAGUUAUUUUUAAAAAGAACUGCAUAACAAUCACUGGCUGUACACACCUUAAAGGGUUGAAUAAUUCCGCUAGUGGCCAGCA